rfam:Gossypium hirsutum cultivar TM-1 chromosome 20, whole genome shotgun sequence
AAACCAUGCAUCGAGCAUUUUCUAAUCAAUUCCUUGAAUCGCUCCCAAGCUUCAUACAAUAUCUCAUCUUCAGAUUGUCAAAAAGAUGUAAUAUUGUUCCUUAAUUU